AGCCUUAUGGUGUAAUGGUAGCACAUGUGAUUUUGGUUCAUCUAGUCUAGGUUCGAAUCCUGGUAAGGCUACAA
rnacentral:tRNA from 1 species